GUCCACGCCGUAAACGAUGAAUACUAGGUGUCGGGGCCGUAGAGGCUUCGGUGCCGCAGCCAACGCAGUAAGUAUUCCACCUGGGGAGUACGUUCGCAAGAAUGAAACUCAAAGGAAUUGACGGGGACCCCGCACAAGCGGUGGAGCAUGUGGUUUAAUUCGAAGCAACGCGAAGAACCUUACCUGGUCUUGACAUCCUUCUGACCGGUCCUUAACCGGACCUUUCCUUCGGGACAGGAGAGACAGGUGGUGCAUGGUUGUCGU
rnacentral:rRNA from 1 species